GGACUUUAAAGACAAUGUCCUGAUUGAGCGACAGGUCCUGGAGGUGACUGGGAAGAGUCCAUUGCUUACCCAUGCUUAUGCCACCUUCCAGACCAAGGACUAUGCCUUCUUCAUCAUGGAGUUUCUUAGCGGAGGAGACCUAAGUGGUCUCAUGAGAGCCAACGCCCCAUUCACCGUUCCAGUCACUAGAUUUAUGGCAGCUGA